CACACAAUGUGUGCUAUUCAAAGCACAGAGUACAAUUUCGAGCUUAAUCAAGGACUGUAGCCAGUAAUGCUGUGAGGCUAACAGAGAGAUAAUUGCUUGACACAGACACAUUUCAGGUGGUGCACAAUGUGCAGCCGGGUAUGAAGCUGGCAAUGCAAACUCCAAGCUGAGGGCACUUCUAGGUGGGGCAGAGAGGUGCUUAUCUGUGCAAGCAAAUGCCACCCAAGGUUAAAGAUGUAACUUGGCUGAUGGAAAUGCAGUUUUCAGAAUCUGAAGCGAAGAGAACAAGACGUUGCUCUUAAAUUCUCUGCAUUUUAAGGAUAGAUUUUCCUCUUUAACUGGUCUCCAUCCAGUGUUGCUACCUGAAUUUGGGCCAAUGGUUUUUGGGAUGGACUCCAACUUUUCGUGACUCCCAUAUUGGAUCAACCAGAGAUAAAUUCUUGUUCAUUUGUGAGCAGAUGUCCAGCCAGAUGAUUACCAAUGCAAGUGUAAAUCUAAGUGAUGUUGCCAAAAACGGCUGUAAGGCGGCCAAUAUGAGGAAUAUGA